rnacentral:rRNA from 1 species
UGCCAGCCGCCGCGGUAACACGGGGGGUGCAAGCGUUAUUCGGAAUUAUUGGGCGUAAAGCGCACGCAGGCGGUGUGGUCAGUCAGAUGUGAAAGCCCGGGGCUCAACCCCGGAAGUGCAUUGGAAACUGGCGAACUUGAGUACGGGAGAGGAAAGUGGAAUUCCGAGUGUAGGGGUGAAAUCCGUAGAUAUUCGGAGGAACACCAGUGGCGAAGGCGGCUUUCUGGACCGAUACUGACGCUGAGACGCGAAAGCGUGGGGAGCAAACAGGAUUAGAUA